rnacentral:lncRNA from 1 species
CAGUAACAAUAUUUUAGUCAAGUGGCUUCCAAGUAUCCUUGUAAGAAACUGGAGUGAGAAACUAUAGAUGGGUUCAGUAAAAGAGCAGCUUGCUGCUGUGGAAAAAGAAAUAUUUAAAAUAAACCAAGAGGUUCAAUGGUUGCUUGAUAAACAGAAAACUUUGAAAGAAAAAAGAAACCAAUUAAAGCUUCAGCUGGAACAGGAAGCAUCUGCAGAGUUAGCCAACAUUGACUGGA